rnacentral:rRNA from 1 species
CCUACGGGCGGCUGCAGUGAGGAAUAUUGGUCAAUGGGCGGGAGCCUGAACCAGCCAAGCCGCGUGAGGGAAGAAGGUACAGCGUAUCGUAAACCUCUUUUGUCAGGGAACAAAGGCGGGGACUAGUCCCCGGAUGAGGGUACCUGAAGAACAAGCACCGGCUAACCCCGUGCCAGCAGCCGCGGUAAUAGGGGGGAUGCGGGCGUUAUCCGGAUUUAUUGGGUUUAAAGGGUGCGCAGGCGGCCUGUUAAGUCAGCGGUAAAAGCUCGGGGCUAACCCCCGGCGAGCCGUUGAAACUGGCGGGCUGGAGUUGGCGAGAGGUAGGCGGAAUGCGCGGUGUAGCGGUGAAAUGCUUAGAUAUCGCGCAGAACCCCGAUUGCGAAGGCAGCGUACCGGCGCCACACUGACGCUGAGGCACGAAAGCGUGGGUAUCGAACAGGAUUAGAUACCCGAGUAGUC